GGCGUGGAGGCUGGGCCACCUCAGCGGGGCCGGGGCCGGGGGGACGUGCCUGCUGCCCGCCGCGUCCAGCGUAGGGCGGGCAGGGGGCGGCCCCUCCGCCUGAGGCGGCCCCGGGCUCCCCGCGCCCGGCCCGGUGUCGGUGGCGCCGCCGCCGCCGGCCCUGAGGCGGCCCCGGCCCCCGCGCUGCCCCGGGCCGCAGCCGCGGCGUGGCGGGUGAGGCACAGCAGGUCCCAGAGCGCUGCCCACAGCACCCGGCCCUGGCACCGGCCUGGCCCCAGGGAAACGCUGCAGGGCCGCAGCCCCACGGGCAUGGGGAGCGGGCUCCCCCCUGAGCCCCACCGGGAAUCCAUGCUUCUGGCCUUCGAGGAUGGUUCCCUCUGCCCUGGAUGACUCAGGUCUAUCUCUUCUAUGCUGAUACUUCCUGUAGCCGAAGCUUGCUGGGACAUCUGGAAGCUACUGCUACUACUGCUGCCACUAAUACUUCCAGUGCCAAUUCCACUUGUUCCACUGCCUGAGAGCUCCUCUGCUUCGAUGCGUUUUCUCUUGCCUCGGGAAGAGCGCACAAGUGAAGUACUGCUACUGCUGCUGCUGGAGGUAGCCCGAGAGACGGUAACACGGGAGGAGGGACUCGGAGAGAGCUUCAACCUUCACACAAAGAAGCAAGCGUUCCAAUUAACUCAUCCAGGGAACUACACACAAAGCAAUAAUGCUAUCAUAUACUCCGUAACCAAACUGCAAUACACCCCGAGGCUGGCAGUGGCCUCACUGUGUGCCAUGAGGACCGCAUGUAAGGGGGGUGGGGGGGAGCUAUCCAUCCCUGAGGAAUUUUCUGGUGGUACGAUUAUGUGACAUGGAAAGCCAUACAAACGAGCACAACACAGAUCAUGUAACCCUUCCCUCCAGUGUAUCUACUACUAAACAUACUAUUCUUGGGCCACAGCGCUUAAAACCAGGACAGCACAGAAGUAUAAGCAAUUAAAUAAAAAGAAGAGGUGAAUGUCAAACACAGAAUGAUACAUUCCGCUGUACUCCGAGGUCAUUAUAAAAACCAAAAUAUAACUAAAGACUAUUCACUUGUAAGUGUUCAUACAGCACACUGUGGUGUGAAGCCAGUAUGACUUCAGUGAAACAAAAGUCUGGAAAUUUCUGCUGAACUGGUAAAAAAAAAACAAGCCGAAGAAAUGAAAAUAACACCUGCUAUUUGUAAGAAAAGAAUGUGGAAUCUGUACAUACCUUUCCUCUUCUCCUUCCAGGAGUUUUCGGUAAGCACUGAUCUCCAUGUCCAGUGCUAACUUAACAUCAAGCAGUUCUUGGUACUCUGUAAGCUGCUGCUGCAUCUGGUCCCUCAUAUCUGUCAUUUCCCUCUCCUUUGCAUCUAGCAUCUUCCUAAACUUUUCCCGCUCACCAGCCAUCAUUUCCUCCAAUUCGUGAAUGCGAUCUUCUGCAGCACUAGCCUAGGUAGACAGCACAAUGGAAAACCCAGUUGGCAUCUACGUGGGUACAGUAAGAAAGUUAAAAAUUUGUCUCCCUCCCCAAUGAACAUAAAGAUUUCUCUCUGGAAAAUCCAGAAAACGUGAAGGAACAGAAAUGUUAAUAAAUCCAAACAAUACCGUGCUCUGUAUUAGAGAUGAAAGCGAAUUUAGUCCCUUUACCUGUUUCUGAAGGCCAGAGAGCUGGUAGUUGAGAGCUUCUAUUCUCAUGCGAGCCUCCUUCAACUCCUCUCGAGCUGCACCAGCAGCUUUGUCAUUUUGGUCAGACGACAGUUUGGCGUUCUCCAGCUGGAAAGCAAGUUUUAUACAAGUCACUUGGAUUGAGUUAGAUAACCUGCAAAUACCCUUUUGGUAAAAAAAUAGAAGCUAUUUAAUCUUAAAUAAUUUUAAAUGGCAAUCUGGUAAGUUUAUGGUGAGAAUUGCUUAACAUUAAGGAAAUGCCCUAAGGACCAGGAAAAUCUAUUUCAGUCCUAUUCCUAUGGAAUUUGCUUACGCUAUUAAAAAUAAAAGUCUAUUAACCCUUGCAGCACACAAGCAGCCUUCCACUUUCCAAAAACCAGGUUCAUGUGAUCAUGGUCUCUGCCUGUUUGUUGUAAGAACAAUCACACUGGGUCAGAGCAAAGGCUACCUAGUUCAUGUCCUGGUCUAACGAGAGACCAAGGUCAAUAAAAUAUUCCAUGGGUAUUAUGUCUCAGCUGGCCAUUUACAAUUCAGGGACUUCCCAAACCAGAGACAGUAUUUUGAUGCUUACUGCCUCUCUGGAUUUUUCAGGCAGGAACUUGCCCCUGCUUUUUGAAUUUAUGGGGCAAGGACUUUAGCUGUGGAUCACUGAAGAACAACCUUACUUUGUUUCUUCCAAGUCUACCACUGGACAUUCACUGUCCCUACUUCUGAAAAAUAAUAAACAAUCACUCCUCAUUUACCUUUUCUCUGCCAUCUAUGCUUUUACAGAUAUCUAUGGUAACUUCCCCUUCUCUUGAGACAGGUAUCUCGUUUCCCAGGAGAAGUUUUAUUUUGAACUUUCUUCAUGCAGGACCUCUUUCAUACUCUUAAUUGUCUUCGUUAGUCUUCUCUGUAUUACUCUGUACUACUUUUUCAAGAAGGACUAAGACUACCCACAGCACCCCAGAUGACAUCCUGCCCCAGAGGCAAAGCAGCACUUUCAGUUAUAUUCUCUGUCCCUAAUAGCUGCCAACAUGCAAUUCGUUUUCAGUUUUUGUUAAUUAAUUUCACCUAAUGAAGUUUGUUCACUUCUAGUGACUACUUUUAGCCAAAUCUGACAGAGAAACAACAGAGCUCAAAGCUAUUACAAGGGAAAUUUCAUCGAAGUAGAUAGCUAGAAAAAGCAUCCUUUUCACGCCUUGCAGGUGGAGCUCAACAAUUCUGCUACACGCCACAGAAUCCACCCAGGAACUAAAUUGCCCCAGUCCCAAAAACUGUUCCAAGCAGGACAUGAUGUUUAGCCACACAGCACAAAGCUUUUAUAAAAAUCAAUCUUCAUUAGCUCUGCUGAUCACAAGGCUCUGAGUAGGGCAGAAAACACAUAUAGAGCCUUCUUUAGGCUAAGGGUUUUGAAGGAACUUCAAACCAACUAUAUACUCCAUUACUUGUGAAGUUUUAAAUUAGAGAAUUAUUUAAAUGCUGACAUUCACUUCCUUACAGUCAUGCUGGCAUAGUGCCAAAUCCUCGAGUUUAGAAUGUCUGUUAUUUAUUGUCAAAGGUCAUGAUCAGAGCUAGAAGUGAGCUUUUACCCAAGACCCUCUUCAUCCUGGAGAAGCUCAGUAGCUAAACUUAGGGAAUACAAGGUCAAAGCGGCCUGUUAACAGCUCAGGCUCUCUCUGACAGGGACACAUCUUGAUCCAGAAAUCCAGGGAAUGAAGCUCACAGCUAAGCCCAUUUUCCCCUUUGCAUUCCAGCUUCACCCAUAACAACCACCAUCUUUUAUAUGGGGGGAAAAAGCAGCUUAAUUUGUUCAUCCCCCUUGUUCAAAUCUCAUCAAUUUUUCAUUCUCAAAGUCUGUAUUUUGCAGACUUUUUUUUUUUCCCUACCCUGGAUCUUCUUCUGACCGUGACAAGUGAAUCCAAGUAUCUUGUAUAAAAACAUCAUCUGUUCCUAACUUCAGCAAAUAAUACCAAGACUGCUAACUGUACUUAAGUUUUUUUUUUAGUAUCUAUUAUCUAUAUUGUUGUUGCUGUAAGAAAUGGUUAAGUAUUUGUAGAUCAAUGUUUCUUAUACUGUAAAUUAUCAAACCAAAGAAUUCAAAGGGAAUCUCAGUGAAAGGUGGGGGAGAUCAGUGUUAGUGGGAACGUAGUUUCUCUGCUGCAAGAGAAUUAGAAGUAACUGUAUUAUUGGCAAGUAUUUUCAAUAACCAGAAAACUGGCAGCUAAUCCCUUCAGGUAGGGCAAUGAAUAGUAAAACAAACAAAAAACCCAAACAUAAACCAAACAAACCUGUAACCAGGAGCUGUACCACUAACAAAGCUACUCCUCCCAUGGCCCCAGUGCUGGACGAACUGGGAUUUCCUAACUCGGGAUUUGCAGAGGUGUGACGGGUACAGCUGACUCCCAGCCACGCUUUGGUGCGGGCUGACUAAGAAGCAGCAGGACUCCAUUCCUGGCGUGAAUUUGUGAACUGCAGAGCCCCUGGCUCAUGCACACAGGAGCGAAGGGGUCUUGAAAAAUAUUCCAAAGGUACAGAACAAGAUACCAGAGCUAAAACAAAGACACAUAUCUUGUCUAUACUACUGACUAGCAGCCAACUACUUCAUUACCACUAGGAUGGACCCAGUUUGAGCUCUCCCUGAACCGCAGCUGGACUGCGUGACAGGUGACUCUCCCCUGGCGCAGGGAUGUCCCUCAAGGUUAGAGAUUCCUUAUGUGAGACUACAAGAUCCUUCCUUACCCGAGGUGGAGAGAGUCCUUACCCACGACAGAUCGGUGGUAAAUGACUACGAAACGUUACUAAUCCAGGUAGCUACUCGAUAUUAUUAUAAACGCUGUAUGGAUAAUCCCUUCAGACAUAAACCACUGACCAAGCCAGAGACUGAAAUUGGAUCCAACCCCACCUAGGCUCCAAAAGGAGUUUAGAAGGCAAGGGGGUCCACUCUGAACGUCGUGACUCAACAGGAGGGUUCCUCCUUACUCUUUGCGUCUCUGGUCUCUGUAUGAAUCAUUCUAACUCAAUUUUCCUUUGUAUGCUCCUUUCGUGCAGUAAUUAAUAAGGUGAAUCUUGCCAUCAGACUUAUGGAACCCUGUCAAAUCACUGUUAAACUUUAUUAAAUUCCAUUGAACUUACUGAACUCUGUUAAAUUAUUAUUUUACCUCAAUAAAAAAAUAUUACAGCUUC